rnacentral:rRNA from 1 species
UGUAUCUGAAAUCAAGCAGGAUCACCCGCUGAACUUAAGCAUAUCAAUAAGCGGAGGAGAAGAAAUUAACUAAGAUUGCCUCAGUAACGGCGAGUGAAGCGGCAAAAGCUCAAACUGGAAAUCUUGUACACUACGUGUGCACGAAUUGUAAUCUAAAGGGUUUUUACUCACCGGGCGGUGAAGCAGAAGUGCCAUCGAAAGGGCCACCAGAGAGGGUGAUAGUCCCGUAUGUGGUUUCACUGCCUAACGAGUAUGGAUCCAAAGAGUCGGGUUGUCUUGUACUACAGCCCUAAGUUGGAGAUAGACUUCUUCUAAGGCUAAAUAUAUAUGGGAAACCGAUAGCGAACAAGUACUGUGAAGGAAAGAUGAAAAGAACUUUGAAAAGAGAGUCAAAAGACUUGAAAUCGUUGAGAAGGAAGCGGUAGAAAUUUAUUCUUCGGCAGAGGUCGGUGCCACGUGCCUAACCAUUGUGGGAGCACAGUACUGCAUAAGGCUGUGCCUUACACUUGGGGAAGUGCAGGGUUUGACCUUUGUCGUGAGGCAAAAUGAGGUCAGAUUGCCGCAAAGGCUUGUCUCAACGGGCUAGAUUUAUCUGGCAGUGGGGCUGUGCCGGCGGUGACCUGGCCUGAGGGUGCUUUGUGCGAUUUUGCCAAAAUGGUUUUUACCGACCCGUCUUGAGACACGGACCAAGGAGUCUAACAUAUAUGCGAGUGUGCUGGUGCAAAAACCAACACGCGUAAUGAAGGUGAUUGAUGCCAAACCGCAAGGUGGCAGCAUCGACCGACCAUGAUCCUCCGGGUGAAAGGUUUGAGUAAGAGCAUAUCUGUUAGGACCCGAAAGAUGGUGAACUAUGCCUGAGUAGGGUGAAGCCAGGGGAAACUCUGGUGGAGGCUCGUAGCGGUACUGACGUGCAAAUCGUUCGUCAAACUUGGGUAUAGGGGCGAAAGACUAAUCGAACCAUCUAGUAGCUUGGUUCCCUCCGAAGUUUCCCUCAGGAUAGCUGGGACAAGUACGCAGUUUUAUUAGGUAAAGCGAAUGAUUAGAGGCCUGGGGGAUAAAUUAUCCUCCACCUAUUCUCAAACUUUAAAUUGGUAAGAACCCUGGCCUUUCUUAAGUGAGGCAUGGGGGCUCAAUGCGUGUCCUUAGUGGGCCAUUUUUGGUAAGCAGAACUGGCGAUGAGGGUUGCUCCUAACGUCGAGUUAAGGUGCCUAACUACACGCUCAUCAGAAACUACAAAGGGUGUUGGUUCAUUUAGACAGCAGGACGGUGGCCAUGGAAGUCGGAACCCGCUAAGGAGUGUGUAACAACUCACCUGCCGAAUGAACUAGCCCCGAAAAUUGAUGGCGCUCAAGCGUGUGACCGAUACUCGACCAUU